GACGAACGCUGGCGGCGUGCUUAACACAUGCAAGUCGAACGGAAAGGCCCUGCUUUUGUGGGGUGCUCGAGUGGCGAACGGGUGAGUAACACGUGAGUAACCUGCCCUUGACUUUGGGAUAACUUCAGGAAACUGGGGCUAAUACCGGAUAGGAUCUCCUGCUGCAUGGUGGGGGUUGGAAAGUUUCGGCGGUUGGGGAUGGACUCGCGGCUUAUCAGCUUGUUGGUGGGGUAGUGGCUUACCAAGGCUUUGACGGGUAGCCGGCCUGAGAGGGUGACCGGCCACAUUGGGACUGAGAUACGGACCAGACUCCUACGGGAGGCAGCAGUGGGGAAUAUUGCACAAUGGGCGGAAGCCUGAUGCAGAAACGCCGCGUGCGGGAUGACGGCCUUCGGGUUGUAAACCGCUUUAGCCUGUGACGAAGCGUGAGUGACGGUAAUGGGUAAAGAAGCACCGGCUAACUACGUG
rnacentral:rRNA from 1 species